ensembl:lncRNA
GGAUCUUCCUGACCCAAGGAUCAGACCCGUGUCUCCUGCUUAACAGGUGGAUACUCUGCCACUGAGCCACCUGGGAAGCCCCUUGUGAUAUAAUAGCAGGAGGUUUAUCCACACUGUCACCUGAAGUAACAUGGAAAGUAGAAUAGCACCUGAUGAAUGGUGAUGUCUAAGGAAAUUUUUAUACAGAGUGUUGAAGGUAUGGCCUGGUCUCUUGCUGCUUAUAGUAAAAUGCAAAUUAAGCCAAAAGGACAGUUAAAAGCAAUCAGGACUUCAUGGUUUUGAAAACUCCUGGCCUUCUCACAUGACAACUGAUCUUUAAAUUAAGAAAUGAUUUGUAGCAAAGAUUAAAUCCAAAAGGACACACAAAGGACACAGCCAGGAAAACAUGGUCUAAAGAUAAAUCCAAGGAUGUUAUUGUCAAAUCCCUUGUUAAGAUCUCAUAAAGAUCAAAGAUGAUUCUUCAGAGGACAUUUAGGCAGACAAAAUUCUAAUGAAAUUUUUAGUGUGCCUCACAGUCUUAAUCAAACAAUGGAGCAUCUAAGAAAUUGGAGGGUGUUGUUCUUCAGCAGACUCUCAAGGUUGAGAAGGGCUUAUUGUAAAGAGAUUUGAGGAUUUGGCUCUUGAAUAAUGAUGUGGACUGAAUAAGAUUCAUAGGAGAUCUGCAAAGUUUUUUGAAGAACUGGAUUGGAAUAAACAUUGCCAGCUUGGACUAAAAGUGGGUGUGUCUGAAAGGGGAUGAGUGUAUUUUGCAGAUACCAAUACGUGAACAGUGCCAUGGUCGGGUGGGAGCAGGAGGCAGUUAAAGAAGAAUACUGAAAAGAGGAAGAAGACAAGAAGCCAGAUAAUGGUCACUUCAAACUUUGCCUUAAUCGCCAGUGCUUUCUCCACUCACUCAAGUUUGAGAAAUCCUCGUUCAGAGCUAUGCUUCUCAUUGGUCUGUGAAGGCCCUUCUCUGGUUAUUUACUUAUUUAUUCCCCUUUAUUCCAAAGCCCAUUCCUAUCCUUUCAUCCAACAGAGAUACUACCUUUAAUCCGUUUAAGAACUGACCUUAACAGAUGAACAAGGUCCUACCCAGGAAACUACACUCAAUAUCCUAUGAUAAACCAUAGUGGAAAAGAAUAUGUAUAACUGAAUGUUUUGCUGUACAAUAGAAAUUAACACAACAUUGUAAAUCAACUACACUUCAAUAAAAUUUUUAAAAAAGAAUUGGCCUUAAACCUACACUUUUAAACCUAAAGAGUGUUAUUACGAGAGCAUAUAUAUAUUUUCAAU